CCUGCGUCGACUCCUCUCAGCUCCGAGGGAUUCUCUUUGUGAGCUUCUAGCUGUGAUCCUGCGUCGACUCCUCAGCUCUGAGAGAUUCUCUGCGUGAGCCUGCCCAUGUGAAUGACCGGACAAGCAAACAUGGCUCAUCAAGGCUCAUCCCAUCACUCUGCAGCACACCGCUGGCCCCUGCAGGAGGAUCUUCCUUUAGUAGCACAGAAUGGGAUUGUUCUCCUGAAUUCUCCCACAUCAUCAUUAAUGCAAUUGUUUUCAGAAUGGGGAAAAACACCAGUUACAUGUCAAAAACGAAUAAGGAACAACUGAAUACUUCAUUCAAGACCCUGAAUGAAAAGCUUUAGCUGUUUAUUUCUGGUUUGUGUGUCCAGGGCCGACUUGAGGCUCCCUCCCUCUCACCCCUGAAAAUGUAUCUGGAGAACACAAAGUUAUUCCACAUGCUGGAAGCCCCAGCUGAGUUUAAGUAAGAACCUCAUACCAAAGGUCAAGCAUGGUGGUGGUAAUGUCAUGGUUUGGGGAUGCUUUGCUGCAUCAGGACCUGGACGCCUUGCCAUCAUUGAAGGAACCAUGAAUUCUGCUCUGUAUCAGAGAAUUCUACAGGAGAAUGUCAGGCCAUCCGUCCGUGAGCUGAAGCUGAAGCGCAGCUGGGUCAUGCAGCAAGACAAUGAUCUGAAACACACAAGCAAGUCUACAUCAGAAUGGUUGAAGAACAAGAAAUUUAAAGUUUUGGAAUGGCCUAGUCAAAGUCCAAACCUAAACCCCAUUGAGAUGUUGUGGCAAGACCUGAAACAAGCAGUUCAUGCUCGAAAACCCACAAAUGUCACUGAGUUGAAGCAGUUCUGCAUGGAGGAGUGGGCCAGAAUUCCUCCACGGCACUGUGAGAGACUAAUCAAUAACUACAGGAAGCGUUUGGUUGCAGUUAUUGCUGCUAAAGGUUGCGUAACCAGUUAUUGAGUUUAAGGGGGCGAUUACUUUUUCACAAGGGGGCAUUGGGUGUUGCAUAACUUUCUUUAAUAAAUAAA